rnacentral:lncRNA from 1 species
GAACAGCUGUGAAUGUCUAUUAGGAAGCCUGUCUUUUCUAGGACUCGCCACUGAAGGCGGUACAGAUGCUCUGGGUCAACCUCAUCAUGGACACGCUGGCCUCCCUGGCUCUGGCGACAGAACCACCCACCGAGUCACUCCUGCUCCGGAAGCCUUACGGGAGAAACAAGCCUCUCAUCUCACGCACAAUGAUGAAGAAUAUCUUGGGCCAUGCGUUCUAUCAGCUCGUAGUGGUCUUCACGCUCUUGUUCGCUGGUAAGCGCUCACUGUCGUCACGCUUCGGUUACACUGUUUGUGUGUCGCACCUUGAGGUCACUCAGAUUGAUGCUUCAGUGUGACAGAAUUUUCAGAAGCAUAAGGUCUGUUCCCGACCCCACCGUGUGUCUUUAAAUUUCACUUACGUUGGGUGAACGGUGGGGGACGUGGAGAGGCCUGGCUUUUGUCCGGGAAUCACUGCACUUAGAUCUGUGGCCCUGACGUGUCUGUCUCCAUAGUGUUAGGGGCUGCACCAAAGCACCGCAGGGUCUAUUCCAGCUCUUUCUAUGUGGUCAUUGCACGUCACAGGUGGACCAGGCUUUGUCAUCACGAACUUGGCUAAGUUACAGAUUGGGUGAUUUCAGUGGUGAUUACAAAAUGGUGGCGUCUGGUUUCAUUCAGGAGAGAAGUUUUUCGAUAUCGACAGUGGGAGGAACGCCCCUCUGCAUGCUCCACCGUCAGAGCACUACACCAUUGUGUUCAACACCUUUGUGCUGAUGCAGCUCUUCAAUGAAAUAAAUGCCCGGAAAAUUCAUGGGGAAAGAAAUGUGU